GAUGAACGCUGACAGAAUGCUUAACACAUGCAAGUCUUUGGCGAAGCUGUGCUUGCACAGCCUAGCCAAGGCGGACGGGUGAGUAACGCGUAAGGAACUUGCCCUGCAGUCAGGGAUAACAGACGGAAACGACUGAUAAGACCUGGUAAAGUCAGGCGGACUCAUGUCCAGCCUGAUGAAAAGUGAUGCUGCAGGAGAGCCUUGCGUCCUAUUAGCUUGUUGGUGGGGUAACGGCCCACCAAGGCGAUGAUAGGUAGCCGGCCUGAGAGGGUGGACGGCCACAAGGGGACUGAGAUACGGCCCUUACUCCUACGGGAGGCAGCAGUGGGGAAUAUUGGACAAUGGGGGCAACCCUGAUCCAGCAAUUCUGUGUGCACGAUGAAGGUUUUCGGAUUGUAAAGUGCUUUCAGCAGGGAAGAAAAAAAUGACGGUACCUGCAGAAGAAGCGACGGCUAAAUACGUG
rnacentral:rRNA from 1 species